rnacentral:rRNA from 1 species
UCUUGGCUCAGGAUGAACGCUGGCGGCGUGCCUAACACAUGCAAGUCGAGCGAAGCGCUUUACUUGAAUUCUUCGGAAGGAAAGUAUUGUGACUGAGCGGCGGACGGGUGAGUAACGCGUGGGUAACCUGCCUCAUACAGGGGGAUAACAGUUAGAAAUGACUGCUAAUACCGCAUAAGACCACAGCACCGCAUGGUGCGGGGGUAAAAACUCCGGUGGUAUGAGAUGGACCCGCGUCUGAUUAGCUAGUUGGUAAGGUAAGGGCUUACCAAGGCGACGAUCAGUAGCCGACCUGAGAGGGUGAUCGGCCACAUUGGGACUGAGACACGGCCCAAACUCCUACGGGAGGCAGCAGUGGGGAAUAUUGCACAAUGGGGGAAACCCUGAUGCAGCGACGCCGCGUGAGUGAUGAAGUAUUUCGGUAUGUAAAGCUCUAUCAGCAGGGAAGAAAAUGACGGUACCUGACUAAGAAGCACCGGCUAAAUACGUGCCAGCAGCCGCGGUAAUACGUAUGGUGCAAGCGUUAUCCGGAUUUACUGGGUGUAAAGGGAGCGUAGACGGAGAGGCAAGUCUGAUGUGAAAACCCGGGGCUCAACCCCGGGACUGCAUUGGAAACUGUUUUUCUAGAGUGUCGGAGAGGCAAGUGGAAUUCCUAGUGUAGCGGUGAAAUGCGUAGAUAUUAGGAGGAACACCAGUGGCGAAGGCGGCUUGCUGGACGAUGACUGACGUUGAGGCUCGAAAGCGUGGGGACCAAUUGAGGAUCAGAUACCCUGGUAGUCCACACCGUAAACGAUGACUACUAGGUGUCGGGUGGCAAAGCCAUUUCGGUGCCGCAGCAAACGCAAUAAGUAGUCCACCUGGGGAGGACGUUCGCAAGAAUGAAACUCAAAGGAAUUGACGGGGACCCGCACAAGCGGUGGAGCAUGUGGUGUAAUUCGAAGCAACGCGAAGAACCUUACCUGCUCUUGACAUCCCCCUGACCGUCCCUUAAUCGGGGCUUUCCUUCGGGACAGGGGAGACAGGUGGUGCAUGGUUGUCGUCAGCUCGUGUCGUGAGAUGUUGGGUUAAGUCCCGCAACGAGCGCAACCCCUAUCUUUAGUAGCCAGCGGCCAGGCCGGGCACUCUAGAGAGACUGCCAGGGACAACCUGGAGGAAGGUGGGGAUGACGUCAAAUCAUCAUGCCCCUUAUGAGCAGGGCUACACACGUGCUACAAUGGCGUAAACAAAGGGAGGCAGAGCCGCGAGGCCGAGCAAAUCUCAAAAAUAACGUCUCAGUUCGGAUUGUAGUCUGCAACUCGACUACAUGAAGCUGGAAUCGCUAGUAAUCGCGAAUCAGAAUGUCGCGGCGAAUA